CUACGGGAGGCACCAGCAGGGAAUCUUGCGCAAUGGGCGAAAGCCUGACGCAGCAACGCCGCGUGGGGGAUGAAGGCCUUCGGGUUGUAAACCCCUUUCAGGAGGGAAGAAAUUGACGGUACCUCCAGAAGAAGCCCCGGCCAACUACGUGCCAGCAGCCGCGGUAAUACGUAGGGGGCGGGCGUUGUCCGGAAUCAUUGGGCGUAAAGAGCUCGUAGGCGGUUCAGCAAGUCGGCUGUGAAAGUCCGAGGCUCAACCUCGGAACUGCAGUCGAUACUGCUGUGACUCGAGUCCGGUAGAGGAGAAUGGAAUUCCCGGUGUAGCGGUGAAAUGCGCAGAUAUCGGGAGGAACACCAGUAGCGAAGGCGGUUCUCUGGGCCGGUACUGACGCUGAGGAGCGAAAGCGUGGGUAGCAAACAGGAUUAGAUACCCGGGUAGUC
rnacentral:rRNA from 1 species